GGGCUCCAGGGCCGUACGGCGCGCACGGCCCUCGCCCUGCGCGAGGCGACCGCCGCCGGGCGGUGGGCCGUGCUGGACCACCCCCUGCUGGCGCUCACC
rnacentral:tRNA from 1 species